rnacentral:rRNA from 1 species
UACGUAGGGUGCGAGCGUUAAUCGGAAUUACUGGGCGUAAAGCGUGCGUAGGCGGUCCGCGAAGUCUGAUGUGAAAGCCCCGGGCUCAACCUGGGAACUGCAUUGGAAGCUAACGGGCUCGAGUGUGGCAGAGGGGGGUGGAAUUCCACGUGUAGCAGUGAAAUGCGUAGAGAUGUGGAGGAACACCGAUGGCGAAGGCAGCCCCCUGGGCUAACACUGACGCUCAGGCACGAAAGCGUGGGGAGCAAACAGG